UGGGAACGUACCCUUUAGUACGGAAUAACCCAGGGAAACUUGGGCUAAUACCGUAUGACUCCUUCGGGAGAAAGAUUUAUCGCUAAAGGAUCGGCCCGCGUCUGAUUAGGUAGUUGGUGAGGUAAUGGCUCACCAAGCCUACGAUCAGUAGCUGGUCUGAGAGGAUGAUCAGCCACACUGGGACCGAGACACGGCCCAGACUCCUACGGGAGGCAG
rnacentral:rRNA from 1 species